ensembl:lncRNA
GCGGGAGGAGAAGCACGAGCUCCUCGUUCACGGCUUCAGCUGACGUCACCAACGAGCCAGUAGUAGCGCCGCCACGUCUGCAGAGUGGAGAACACAUCAGAAAUCUUCGGACUACCGGACUACUUUGUACUACUUUCGUUCAACUUCUUUUGGACAAAUCCACGAUUGGAAGAUCCGUGGCUAUUCAAUCGAUCCGGUGCUAUUGCAAAAAAGUUUGCAAGUCCUGCUAUUCCUCAACAAGGUACAUGCUGAGUCUGGAUCGGAACCUUGUCAACACAAACAUCUCCUCCUUCAUUUCUGCAUUGUGCCUCAUGUUCGGGAGCUACUACAUUUUCAACAUCCAUUAUCCAUCUGAGCUGGCUUCAACUCUGGAGUUCCUUCAAAG